CAUCUUAUACAUAAAACAGGAAGUGUUGCUUGGGAUUUAAACCCAGUCACUAGUUUGAUUUAGCUAAUACUUUAUUUUAUUUCAGUACCACAUUUGUUUGGGUUAGUAUGUCACAUGUAUGAACAAGGAUCUUCAUUUAGGUCAAAAGAAGAGAUACCGCUUGAGUUCAAAACACUGACAAACAGGAAGUGAAACGUGUGACCUGAACUUAAACUCACCCCUUAAAUGACUAAACAAGAACCAGCUGGUCUUAAUACAUCUAAUCUGGAUGUAAUACCAUUAACUGAGGUAAUAAAAAAACAAUAGGGAUAAAAACUUUCACAACCAUGAAUAAUGCAAUAAAGCUCUCAGUGGUUCUCUGGGGUAUAAGCAUAGUUAUAAUGGCAGUGUUUGAUCUCGCCUGGCAGUACCAGUAUGGGGGAGGCUGGGUGGAUAAUUAGUGCCAGGCACAGUCAUCUUAUCUAGGUUAGCGACUCAGACUAAUCCGCCAACACGAGCACUACCAUGCCCUGCAUUCCAGCGCACAGCCUCCAUUCCGCACGGAGCAGUUCAAGGGCCGAUACCACCCAAAGAGACAUCUCACCCCCUUACUGACAUUUCUACUGGAGCCACUGAAGUUUAAGAGCAGCCCACAGAUGUCAGCCAUUACACAGAUGCAGGAGUGAAAAAGGGUCACGCACAUGGACGAUGUUAACCGAACCACAAAGCGCAUUAAAAUGCAACUUUGGUUUGAAGUGAUGAGGUCUCAAGGGUUGUUGCAUAACCUAAAAAGGUGCUAACUGAAACAAAGCCAAGCAUCUUGUGUCAUUGAAGGUUCUACUGGACUUAAAUCUGAAGAAAAAAAAGAAAAAAGUAAAAAUAACAGAACAAUAGCCCACAAGCAAGCUGUAGGUCGGUCAGCACAAACCCAAAGUCCAUCCAAAUGGCCCACGCGAAAAAUAAAUCACACCAGGAGGGAUUCAUCCAAGAGGAGGAGAACCUAGCACAAAAUCUCCACAUCUCCACGUGAGUCAGGCGCUGGGCUGGCCAGAUCUGCGAUGAAGGGUUAUGAGUGUGGACACAGGCCCAAUGACUGUCUGCCAAACUCUAUCUCCACCGAAAAGAUAAGACCAGGCGAGAAAAGAAGAGAACAGAGAAGAUGAACCAAGAGGGAAGAAGAGAAGAGGAAUGAAGAGACAAGAACUGAAAGAUUGAAAAUAAGAGAAAAAUUGAGAAAGAAAGAAAAAGUAGAGAACUGAUAGGAAGAUGAAAAACAAAAAAAUAUAUAUGAAGUCUUCAGAUGCAAAAACCAAGUCCAUGUGAGAUUUUUCCUAAUUUGUUUUCAGGAUUUUUAUCAGGCUCCAGUGUUCAGGUUCAAUUAUUUCACUGUAAUAGCUAUUAAUCAAUUAUUGAAUGCUCUAUUAAAAAAAAAUGCAAUGAUAUUUUCAUAGCAGCCUGUUAAAAUAGCUCAUUUGAAAGAAAAAUCCAUUUUAUUUGAAAGAGUCCUCAUAUAUAAAAAGAAAGGGGAUAAAGAAAAAUGAGAAGAUACAAAAUAAAAGAACAAAGAAAAAAAGGAUAGGAUGAGAAAUUGAAAAAUAAACAAGAAAAGAAAAUGAAAAAGACAUUAGAAAAGUAAAAGAAAUGAGAAAUUUAUAAGAAAAUAACAAAAAGAAAGGAGGAGAAACAGAAAAGAAAACAAAAGAAAAUGUAAACCAAAUAACAAACAAUAACAGAGCUGAGAAAUCAGAAAAUAGAACAGGUGACGGGAAGAGACAAGGAAUGUGAAAAAAGUAAAGGAAAACAGUAGGAAACAGAAGAAGAGAAGAGAUUAAAGAGGAGGAGAGCCAAUAUAUAAGAACAGAAGAAUAAAAAAAGAAAAAGAAAAAAAAUGGAAAGUGGAAAACUGUGGAGCCCAAAAAAAGAGAAGAGACGUGAAGUUAACAGAUGAGGGACAAAGAGAGAAGAGUUCACUAAAGAGUUGAGAAGAAAACAGGAAAGAAGAGAGCAGACAAUACAGUAUCUAAUGAUCCUGAUUAACUAUGACAGCGUUGAAAUCACUGAUGGGUGUUGCUCAUGACAUUCCUGCAAUUAAAGCGGCAGUAAAGUGACGUUAUGAAGACCCGAAGGCGUGUGACAUCAGAAGUGGAGACCAUCCAAGACACGCCAAGACAUUCAGGGCCGGGCACAGAAUGACAUCAGCGCCAAGUGUGUCUCGAACAUGGGCCAUGCAUCAGCUGCAAACAGAGCCCGCUGUGAUCGAUCUCCUCAGGGACGUCUGCGAAAGGGAUGAAAACUAACCCACCCAUCCAUCCAUCCCCCACCAAGCCCUGCACUCCUCAGCACACUGUAGACAUAAAUAUCACUUCCUUUCUCUUCUGUCAAGGUCAGUUCUCCCUACCUUUGAAAUCAACACCAUCCAGGGAGAGAGGAAAUACUCAGUGGCCUGUUUAAAUCGAACGCCAGAUCAUGAUAACAAUAUGGACCGAGAGGAGAUGCAAAAUGGGUUUAUGCACCAUCAGCAGAAAACAGAACACUUCCGUCCCAGCCGGAUGGGUCCUUCGUUUGCCAUCCCGCCAGAUAUUCGAGAACGUGGUUUGAUUUUGAAGUUAUACUGUAGAUUUAAAGCAGUAUUACCAGAAUGUUGCGUUCUGUUCUGUUACAGUAAAUGCUGGCAGUCGGUAGAAGAUGACACUUCUUUUUCUGCUGAACUCAAGUAAUUCAAUAUUUUAACAACAGUUUAUCUAACAAAGCUAGGUUUCACAAAUUACUGUUUUGUUUAAUGUGAUUCUUAUGAAGCAGUUCUUCUUCACAAAUCACUCUCAAUACUUUAUCAGUGCAAACAGUUUAUCCCGAUUUAUGAAUAAAUAGAAUCAGUUCUUUUUAGUAAAUUAAAGACAUACUCUGCAGCCUUUGUUCCAAUUCAUGAAAAAUAUUAUUAAUAUAUCUGGACCCUGGAUCACAAAACCAGUCUUAAGUCGCUGGGGUGUAUUUGUAGCAACAGCCAAAAAUACGUUGUGUGGGUCAAAAUCAUACAUUUUUCUUUUAUGCCAAAAAUCAUUAGGAUAUUGAGAAAAGAUCAUGUUCCAUAAAGAUAUUUUGUAAAUUUCCUGCUGCAACUAUAUCAAAAAUUCAAUUUUGAUUAGUAAUCUGCAUUGCCAAGAAUUCAUUUGGACAAUUUUAAAGUUGAUUUUCUCAGUAUUUAGAUUUUUUUGCACCCUAGAUUCCAGAUUUUCAAAUAGUUGUAUCUCAGCCAAAUAUUGUCCGAUCUUAAUAAACCAUACAUCAAUGGAAAGCUUAUUUAUGAUUUGAACAAAUAAGUGAUUCAUUUCAGUCAAUCAAAAACACACAGUGCCAUUAGUGUAGCCUGAUUCAUGAAAAAAAUAACUUUUACGAUCCAAUUAUUGUAAUUAAAUCGGAAAAAGAUACCGAUACUGAUUUGUAUCGUCCUUCACAACUGUCUUUUAUAAUUUACAGCAUUAGCAGAGUGAAACAUGUUUAAAACAAAGAUUGCAGGAGAAUAUUUUUUGUCUUCAGUUUUCAUCUUCCAAAUUUAAUGUUUACUUUGAAGUGUAACUUCCCAUUUCUUUAUAAUAAAAAUGUACUAGCCA